rnacentral:rRNA from 1 species
GUGGGGAAUCUUAGACAAUGGGCGCAAGCCUGAUCUAGCCAUGCCGCGUGAGCGAUGAAGGCCUUAGGGUUGUAAAGCUCUUUCGUGGGGGAAGAUAAUGACUGUACCCCAAGAAGAAGCCCCGGCUAACUCCGUGCCAGCAGCCGCGGUAAUACGGAGGGGGCUAGCGUUGUUCGGAAUUACUGGGCGUAAAGCGCACGUAGGCGGACUGGAAAGUCAGGGGUGAAAUCCCGGGGCUCAACCCCGGAACUGCCUUUGAAACUCCCAGUCUUGAGUUCGAGAGAGGUGAGUGGAAUUCCGAGUGUAGAGGUGAAAUUCGUAGAUAUUCGGAGGAACACCAGUGGCGAAGGCGGCUCACUGGCUCGAUACUGACGCUGAGGUGCGAAAGCGUGGGGAGCAAACAGGAUUAGAUACCCGUGUAGUCC